GACGAACGCUGGCGGCGUGCUUAACACAUGCAAGUCGAGCGGUAAGGUCUUUCGGGGUACACGAGCGGCGAACGGGUGAGUAACACGUGGGUGAUCUGCCCUGCACUUCGGGAUAAGCCUGGGAAACUGGGUCUAAUACCGGAUAUGACCUCCUAUCGCAUGGUGGGUGGUGGAAAGAUUUAUCGGUGCAGGAUGGGCCCGCGGCCUAUCAGCUUGUUGGUGGGGUAAUGGCCUACCAAGGCGACGACGGGUAGCCGACCUGAGAGGGUGACCGGCCACACUGGGACUGAGACACGGCCCAGACUCCUACGGGAGGCAGCAGUGGGGAAUAUUGCACAAUGGGCGAAAGCCUGAUGCAGCGACGCCGCGUGAGGGAUGACGGCCUUCGGGUUGUAAACCUCUUUCAGCAGGGACGAAGCGCAAGUGACGGUACCUGCAGAAGAAGCACCGGCUAACUACGUG
rnacentral:rRNA from 1 species